rnacentral:rRNA from 1 species
CGCGUAGGUGGUUUUGUAUGUCUACCGUGAAAGCGUACGGCUCAACCGUAUUUUGUCGGUAGAAACUGCAGGACUUGAGGCUGGGAGGGGCUGGUGGAAUUCCCUGUGUAGCGGUGAAAUGCGUAGAGAUGGGGGAGAACACUCGUGGCGAAGGCGGCCAGCUAGACCAGUUCUGACACUGAGGCGCGACAGCGUGGGAGCAAACA